UCUCGGUUACACACAGAGAAGCAAAACUGAGAGAUUGCAACAUAUCCACCUAGUGAGUCCACAGCCGAGCUGGACACAACACCCUACAGGUCUAAGUCCAACACACUCUUCACUAGUGCUGACUUAUCAGUCAGGACACUUUAUCUCAACCUUACUUCUCUAAAGCCUGUGCACACAACUGAAAAAUGAACGUGGACAGCUAGUCCCAACCAAAUCGAGACUGAGCUACGAGCAACUGUUAUGGCCUCAGCAAUAAAGAGGCUUAGAAUGUGGCCAGUGUUCAAGGGAAAAAGAGAGAUCUGACUCCAAUGCGGAACAGUAAGGACAACCGCUCUGAUGGGAAAGUGCAACUUGUGCUGUGCUCAUUUCAACAGCGAGAUGAACGCCAGGCAGUUUCCAUGUGGUAUGCAGCACAGACUCCUGUUCUUUGCUGCCAUCCACAAAGCCUUUGGGAUUUACUUUCCCUCCUUUUAAAGUAAGCUCUUCAGUACACCAAGUGAAUUCCAGACUAAUAGCAGGUUUCCGGCUGGCCAGGCAAGAGGCCCGUUCUGAGGCAAGCUGUGCAUUUGUUUCCCAUUGAAGACUCUACCUAUUUCAAGAGCUCUCAUAGGACAACAGAGAAGAUCAAAAGACAACAACGUGCCAAAUCCAUAAGCCAGAAUCCUCGGAGACCAUACCCAACUUACAGUGACUGCCAACGGUGGUAGAGGGAGGGGAUAACGCCUGAGAUUUCAAGGUUAGAGAGCUGUUUGGAGGAUAGGAUUCAUGACUAACAAAGAUCAACAAAACUCAGGACCUGAGAUUUGUGAUUUUUAAAAAACUUCCCCAUGAUUAAGUGCGUAUUUCCCUCCUUUGCGGGAUAUCAUACUUAUAAAACAAGGUUUGCUUUGUUCUGAAGAAAUAUUAGCACUAACUAGCCUAACUAACUAGAUGUUGGCUCUCUCUCUGUAGUUGCUGGAGUAGGGGGGCAGGAUCGGUACCAUCUUAAGGGCCACACAUAGCACUGAAAUUCUGUGCAAGCAGUAAAUCGUUAGAAUCUGUAUAUAUCACAGUUCCGAAAGUGCCUUAUUUCUCCAUCUCUCCUCCAUGUUCACAAAUAUGUCAUCUGAAGAAAUGCAAACAAUCUUAAAAAGACAGAGAGAAUAUUCACAACAACUAUGGCAUAUUAGAGAUGGAAAGUCAUGGAAGUAGACUGGAACCCAUCCACCCCCGCAACCUUUUUUAAACCCAUAACUUUAGUAGGGGGGUGAAAGAUUAUUACAAUUAUGAUCCAGGGAAUUUUAUAUCUACUUGACACAUUUUAAAUUUUUUUUGCUUGAUUUAUAUCCCACCUUUUCUCCCCAAUGCAUCUUACAUCAUUCUCCUCUCCUCGGUUUUAUCCUCACGACAACCCUGUGAGGUAGGUUAAGCAGAGAGAGCAUCACCCAGAAAGCUGCCAUGAAAAGAGAAAAGCAAUAGCAUAAAAAUGCCGGGCGCUUCAGAGAAACAAUGAACAAAGAAACGAAGCACUGCCGAAAGAGAAGUUUCUAGGAAAGAGCGGAGGCUACAGACGAGGCAGACGGCUCGGAGGAGAAUGGAAAGGAACAUCGCUGGGUUGGGUUGUGACACAAUUUAACAAGACUACAAAACAAACAUAAUGAAGAUAUGGAUUGCUGAACUGCCGUUUAUGGUCCAAGAGGUGGCAGGAAAUUCAAAUGCCUGGAGUAACACAGCAAUAGGAUGGAAGUCCAGCUGUUGGUGUGGAAUGAGAGGCUUUGUUCAGCACUGGAAGAUAGAAGUGGAAGACCCACACCAUCAGCCACCGUCAACGCAGAAGGAAGGUUGUUUGAAUACCCUCGUUUUCGGCCACCUGCCACAGAACAGUGUGAGGUGCUGGUACAGGCCGUCUUUCAUCCAGUUCCCAACGCUGGUUAUUGAUUUAUUUAAAACAGUAUAAUGCUGCCUUUCCACUCAACUUAUGGCCCCCAAGGCAGCAUAAGAACGUAAGAAGAGCCCUGAAGGAUCAGACCAUCUAGUCCAGCAUCCCAUCUCACACAGUCGCCAACGAGUUACUCUGGAGGGCCAACAACAUGGCAUGGAGGCCGAGGCCUUCCCCUGAUGUUACCUGCUGGCACUGGUAUUCUGAGGUUCACUGCCCCUGAAUGGGGAGGCUCCCUUUAGUCACUGUGACUAGUAACCACUGAUAGACCUCUCCCUCCAUGAUUCUGUCUAAUCCUCUUUUAAAGCUAUCUAUGCCUUGUAGCCACCACUGCAUCCUCUGGCAGUGAAUUCCACAUCAUCAUCAUCGAUUAAUAUACAGCCCUUCAGUACAACUUAAUGCCCACUCAGAGCGAUUUACAAAGUGUGUUGUUAUUAUCUUCAUGACAAUCAGCCUGUGAGGUGGGGGGGGGUGUUGAGUGAGCUCUGGAAGAGCUGUGACUGCUCCAAGGUCACCCAGCUGGUUUCAAGCGGAGGAGUGGGGAAUCAAACCUGGCUCUCCAGAGUCCUGCCACUCUUAACCACUUCACCAAACUGGCUUUCAUCUUAAUGUAUACAUCUCAUUCAUUCAUGUAUGCAGAAAUAUAUUCGUCUGCCCUGAAUCUAUUGCCCAUUAACUUCACUGGGCGGUCUCAAGUUCAAAUAUUUUGGGAGGAGGAAAACGUUCUCUCUGCUCUCUACACCCGGUGGAUAAUUUUAUAAACCUCUAUCACACCCCAGCCCUGUCAUCUCUUUUCUAAAAUGAAAAGUCCCAGACUCUUCAAUCUUUCCUCAUAGGAGAGAUGCUCCAGUCCCCCAAUCAUCUUGGUUGCCCUCUUUCAAAGCCUUUCAAAAGUCUAAGUAAAUAAUGACUUCCAGGUCGCUAUUACCUACAUACUUCUUUACGUUCUUAAAGAACUCCAAAAGGUUGGUGAAGGACUUCCCUUUGCAAAAGCCGUGCUGAUUUCCCCUCAGCAGGCUUUGUUCUUCUACGUGUCUGAUAAAUUCUACCUUUGAUUACAGUUUCUACUAAUUUGCCUGGGACAGAAUUUAAUCUAAUUGAUCUUUAAUUUCCUGGUUCCCUUCUGAACUCUUUUUUU